AUGCUCUUGUUUAAGCUGGAUAUAGCCAAGGCUUUCGACUCGAUCUCGUGGGAAUACCUACUGGAGUUGCUACAGAAUCUAGGCUUCUCGCUCAGGUGGCGCAACUGGAUCUCCGCUAUAUUGGCCUCGUCGUCCUCUGUCGUCCUCCUCAAUGGAUCCCCAUGCCCAAUUAUACAACACUUCCGUGGCCUGCGGCAGGGGGACCCCCUGUCCCCGUUCUUGUUCAUCUUGGCGAUCGACACGCUCCACCGUGUUCUCGAGGCAGCACAAAACUCUGAUCUCCUUGCACCCCUUCCCGGUCGAGAUGCAAAACUGAGACUCAGUCUGUAUGCUGACGAUGCCAUUCUCUUCUCCAACCCCACACGCGAGGAUGUUGCUGGCCUUCUGGAUAUCAUGCACCACUUCGGACAGGCCACCGGGCUGCGAAUGAACCCUGAUAAGUCAACUGUUGCACCCAUCCAAUGCCAAGAAAUCGACCUGGACCAUAUCCUGGAGCCUUUCGCUGGAGCACGCGUUGCCUUCCCGAUCACUUACCUUGGUCUCCCAAUCACCUUAGGUAGGCUCAGAAAGGCGCACCUGCAAUUCGUAUACGAUAGAAUUAGGGCAAAGUUAGCUAGUUGGAAGGGUAGACUGAUGAACGUGGCCGGCAGGCGUGCGCUCGUGCGCUCUGUGCUCACAGCUAUGCCUAUUUUUGCACUCACCGCAAUACAAGUAAACGCCAGCUUCCUCAAGGACAUAGAUAAAAUCUGUAGAAAGUUCCUCUGGGUGCAAGAAGAAAACCUUACGGGUGGCAAGAGCAAGGUCAGUUGGCGCCAAGUGUGCUCUCCAGUAGAGCUGGGCGGCCUUGGGAUCCAUGAUCUUCAGAAGUUCGCCAGAGCGCUUCGUCUACGUUGGCUGUGGUUGUCUUGGGCAGAACCAAACAGGCCUUGGGUUGGCUCGGCCAUCCCAUGCGGUGAGCAGGACCGAGCCCUUUUUGCCGCUGCCACAACUGUCAGGAUUGGCGAUGGCAAAACUGCUCUUUUCUGGGAAUCAACAUGGAUGGGGCCGCUCCCUUUGCGUGAAAUAGCCCCGGCGUUGUACAAGCGAUCAAGAGCAAAGAAUCGAUCUGUCAGGGAGGCGCUGCACGGUCACAGAUGGAUCCAAGACAUAAGAAGACCACCAUUCACAAAUGCUUUCCUAGAGCAAUUCCGCUGCCUCUGGAGAUUAGUCCGGAAUACAGAGGCAAGCCUCAUCACCGGUGGUGUAGAUUUGAUCACCACAACUACAUCUGGAACCUACUCUGUUGCGGUAGCUUACAAGCUGCAGUUUGCUGGCAGGGUGGCCUCUCCUUUCAAAGACAUGUUCUGGCGGGCAUGGGCUCCCCCCCCCCCCCGCUGCAAGUUUUUCAUUUGGCUGCUCAUGUUGGAUAGGCUAUGGUGCGCUGAUCGUCUACAGCGUCGAGGCUGGCCAAACAAUUAUUUUUGCCCUCUAUGUCUGCGAAACUUGGAGACCUCGCUACACAUUCUAUGGGAAUGCCCGCAUGCAAGGAUGAUUUGGCAAAAGGCUGCGGACUGGUCUGGAUGCAGAUCACUCGAUCCCAUUGGCUGGCAAAACCCUGAAAGCUCAAAAGAGAUGUGGAUUGCUAUCGUCUCCAAGACGACGACUGAUCAAAUGAAGGGCAUCAAAUCGAUGAUGAUCCUGGUGUCGUGGAGGAUAUGGCUUGAGCGAAACAACAGAAUCUUCAGCAACAAAAUCUCAACGGUGGAAACCACAAUGAGGGAGAUCCGAGGAGACUUGGAAUUGUGGAGACUGGGGGGUGCAUCCUGCCUGCUGUCGCCUUUCGAGGACCCAGGCUGA
rnacentral:rRNA from 1 species